CUGAAGGUUGACCUCGGAUCAGGUAGGAGUACCCGCUGAACUUAAGCAUAUCAAUAAGCGGAGGAAAAGAAACCAACAGGGAUUGCCCUAGUAACGGCGAGUGAAGCGGCAACAGCUCAAAUUUGAAAUCUGGCCCUCGUGGUCCGAGUUGUAAUUUGUAGAGGAUGCUUUUGGUGCGGCGCCUUCCGAGUUCCCUGGAACGGGACGCCAUAGAGGGUGAGAGCCCCGUCUGGUCGGACGCCAAGCCUCUGUAAAGCUCCUUCGACGAGUCGAGUAGUUUGGGAAUGCUGCUCUAAAUGGGAGGUAUAUGUCUUCUAAAGCUAAAUACCGGCCAGAGACCGAUAGCGCACAAGUAGAGUGAUCGAAAGAUGAAAAGCACUUUGAAAAGAGGGUUAAACAGUACGUGAAAUUGUUGAAGGGAAGCGCUUGUGACCAGACUUGGGCUUGGUUAAUCAUCCAGCGUUCUCGCUGGUGCACUUGGCCGGCCCAGGCCAGCAUCAGUUCGGCGCGGGGGAUAAAGGCGUCGGGAAUGUGGCUCCCCCGGGAGUGUUAUAGCCCUUCGUGCAAUACCCUGCGCCGGACUGAGGUUCGCGCAUCUGCAAGGAUGCUGGCGUAAUGGUCAUCAGCGACCCGUCUUGAAACACGGACCAAGGAGUCGUCUUCGUAUGCGAGUGUUCGGGUGUCAAACCCCUACGCGUAAUGAAAGUGAACGCAGGUGAGAGCUUCGGCGCAUCAUCGACCGAUCCUGAUGUUCUCGGAUGGAUUUGAGUAAGAGCAUACGGGGCCGGACCCGAAAGAAGGUGAACUAUGCCUGUAUAGGGUGAAGCCAGAGGAAACUCUGGUGGAGGCUCGCAGCGGUUCUGACGUGCAAAUCGAUCGUCAAAUAUGGGCAUGGGGGCGAAAGACUAAUCGAACCUUCUAGUAGCUGUUU
rnacentral:rRNA from 1 species